AUGGACUGGACGGCACACACCGCGCACAUACGCGCCCAGUUGGAGCGAGCUCAGCGCCGAUUCAAGAAGAAUGCCGAUCGCAAUCGCACAGAGCGCCACUUCCAGGCGGGAGAGCAGGUUCUGCUCAAGCUCCAGCCCUAUGCCCAGCCACUGGUGGUCAACCGCCCGUGCACCAAGCUCGCCUUCAAGUACUUCGGCCCCAACAAUAUUCUCGAGAAGAUCGGGUCGCUCGCCUACAAGCUCGACCUACCGCCAGAGAGCCAGGUCCACCCAGUCUUCCAUGUCUCGCAGCUGAAGCCAUUCACACCUGACUUCACGCUGGUGUACGGGGAGCUGCCCAAGGUGUCGGACCUCUCCGUCGACGCCCUCACACCUACGCGCAUCCUGGAUCGGCGCAUGAUGAAACAUGGAGACGUGCCGGUGGUGCAGAUCAAGGUCCAGUGGGGCAUAGGCGACACCGCCCCGAUGACGUGGGAAGAUUACGACAUGCUCCGCCACCGUUUUCCGUCAGCAGCACUCUGGACGGAGGCAGAUGACGACGAAGACACUAAAGAAGAAGAAGAAGCGCCUUAA
rnacentral:rRNA from 1 species